rnacentral:rRNA from 1 species
UAAUACGGAGGGUGCAAGCGUUAAUCGGAAUUACUGGGCGUAAAGCGUGCGUAGGCGGUUCGUUAAGUCAGAUGUGAAAGCCCCGGGCUUAACCUGGGAACUGCAUUUGAAACUGGCGGACUUGAGUUGAGUAGAGGGGAGUGGAAUUUCAGGUGUAGCGGUGAAAUGCGUAGAUAUCUGAAGGAACACCAGUGGCGAAGGCGACUCCCUGGACUCAAACUGACGCUGAGGUACGAAAGCGUGGGUAGCAAACAGGAUUAGAUACCCUGGUAGUCCACGCUGUAAACGAUGUCAACUAGCCGUUGGUCCUAUUUACAGGAUUAGUGGCGCAGCUAACGCAUUAAGUUGACCGCCUGGGGAGUACGGCCGCAAGGUUAAAACUUAAAUGAAUUGACGG